CAGCAAGGAACCGACUGGGUCUCAGCUUCCUUCCUGCCCUGCGCUUGGCUGAGGGACCCUGCGACCAGCUCAGGAGGUCAGAGGUGGCCAUGGGCCCAGCUUUGCCAGAUUUCCCUGCCAAAGGGGGCAGUUCAGGGAAAGACACAGCCUGGAUCACAUCCCAGGUGCUGUCUGUCUGUCUGUCUGUGGUGGGUUCCAGAGCAAGGAGGCCUCUCCGUGCCAUCGCUGCACGUUGAUUUCAGCCUGUGGCACCCACGUUGGGACACAUGGAUGCUCCAGGAAACAGCUGUGAACCCUGGGGCUGGAAUAAAGAUUCCAAAAACAAUGCAGAAAAGAAAAGCAGAGAAAUGACACGGUCCAGCUCAUUUUGGCCAUGGGACACAGCAGCUCUGACAGCAUCCCAGUGCUGCGGCAUCCCGCUGCUGCCUGUCUGUGGGGCCAGGGCUGAUCCAGAGCAAGGCAGCAGCUUGGUGCUGCAGUGGGAAGCGGAGGUGUGUGGAGUGCUGUAGGUGUGCUGGCUGUGCCGCGUCGCUGUGGGGUAGAGCUGGUGCUGCAGUGAACCCUUGUGGGAUGUUGGUGGUGCCUGGGGUUGGAGGGCUGUGCAAGCUGGCUAUCGCAGGGCUGGGGAAAGCAGGGAUGAUGAAGGGGAUAAUGGAGAGAGAUGGCUUUGGUGGGGUGCCUGAUUUUUUCGGUGCUCUGGAGGGUUGCUGAAGUUCCUCAGGAAGCGCAGCAUCUCUCCCUUGUAAACGUUUGGGGCUGAGGCAGUGGGGUGAGUG